rnacentral:lncRNA from 1 species
GGGCCCCGUAUUUGCUGUUGCUGCAGGUAUUGGGGUAUUGGCCUCAUGAUUCUGUGUUCAGACUUGAGACGUAUCUUCUUUGGUAGAAGCCAUGUUGGAUUUUGUUGUCUGGUGGCAAGAGGAUGUGCUGCAACUUGUUAAAGGAACUUUUUGAGUAGCUGCUCGGAGUUCCUAUUAUCACCAUCGGCAGUCGGUGUUUGCAGGUAUGAGCUCAGUAUAUUUUUGCCCUUCAUAAGACAUGCUCAUGUUGAAUGGUGUCCGUGAGUAGCACCAUUUAAUGCUGUAUGUUGGCCCGGU